rnacentral:ncRNA from 1 species
UAUAACGGGGUGCCUUUGUUGGCUGAGAUGAUACCCGAUGAACCUGUUCGGAUAAUGCCGUCGUAGGGAUUUACUUAU